rnacentral:siRNA from 1 species
GACGGAUUUGUUAUCGAUCACAGA